rnacentral:rRNA from 1 species
GACGAACGCUGGCGGCGUGCUUAACACAUGCAAGUCGAACGGAAAGGCCUCUUUCGGGGGGUACUCGAGUGGCGAACGGGUGAGUAACACGUGAGUAACCUGCCCUUGACUUUGGGAUAACUUCAGGAAACUGGGGCUAAUACCGGAUAGGAGCUCCUGCUGCAUGGUGGGGGUUGGAAAGUUUCGGCGGUUGGGGAUGGACUCGCGGCUUAUCAGCUUGUUGGUGGGGUAGUGGCUUACCAAGGCUUUGACGGGUAGCCGGCCUGAGAGGGUGACCGGCCACAUUGGGACUGGGAUCCGGCCAGGCCUCCUCCGGGAGGAAGCAGUGGGGAAUAUUGCACAAUGGGUGGAACCCGAAUGCAGCAACGCCGUGUGCGGGAUGACGGCCUUCGGGUUGUAACCCGCUUUCGCUCAGGACGAAGCUUUGUGUGACGGUAGUGGGUAAGAAGCACCGGCUAACUACGUG